UCCUGCACGACCCCUACUGGGAAUCAAGCCUACAACCUGGGCAUGUGCCCUGACCGGGAAUCGAACUGAAUGAUGUUCAUGGAUCACUACUCAACUACUGAGCCACACCAUCUGGCUGAAUAGGAUGUUUCUUAAAAAUGAAUUUGUUAUGGAAUAUCUACAAAACGCUUCUUGCCAUGAGUCAGACUUGUGGAUAUUUCGGGAUGACUAAAUCUUAGACCAAAGAUACAUACCAGGAAGGAUAAUUGCUGAGUCAUAUGAACCUGCACAACAGCUCAUGCAUGAUGUGGUUGGAAGUGAGUCUCACAGCCAUCCUGAGUGGAGACUCUGCCCACA